CUUGCCCCCAGGGGCAUUGCAGGUAUGGGUGCUGUACCCCAUUGUGUCAGUAGGUGGCAGAGAGGAGAGAGGUUAUGUCUAUGCUCAGUGUUCUGACCUGUGGGCACCUGAAUAAUUAGUAGCCUAACGUU
ensembl:snoRNA LOC120098378 small nucleolar RNA SNORA17